GUGUUAUUUGUUGUAAGUUGUUUUCGAAACUAAAUAGGCUUCUUGUAUAUUAUCUACACAGGUUAUCCAUUGUGUUGUAAUCCAAUAUAAUGUUCCUUGUUUUUGUUCUCAUAUUUUUUGUUACAUGCUAUUCAUUUUUUUGUUUAUUGUAAUAAUAGGGAAUAUUUUGUUUGUUAUAUUAUGUACUUUUAUACCUUUGUAUUUUGUCGGUAGUUUACAACUGUUUGAGUGUGAUUUGUGUUGGGGUUGAUAUAAAUAGUGGGAAUUUUGGGUUUAGGAAUGAAACAUAUUGAUGAAGAGGUAGAUGCAAAUGAUAGGAAUGGAUUAAAUGAAGGGGUUUCAUCUAUAAGUAUUAAAUUUGAAAUGUCUAUGAAUUAAUAUGGUUUAGUGAUGAUGUCUUGGUUAGUAACAUAUUUUCUUGGGAGAGCUUGUUUCUAGUUAUGCAUAUAAUCACGAGCAAGAUGUAUGGAGAUCUGAGGGAGACCAAUGGAUGUAUGAUAGUAUGAUGUCUGAAGAAGUUGACAUGAAUGUUGAAAAUGAGGAAGAUGUUGACGUUAAAGUAGAACAUGUUGAUUGUUCUGAUGCCUUUAAUACCUCUUAGGUAUUUGUGUUAUUUGUUAUUGUUGUUACAACAAUUAUAUUACAUAAAUGUUUACUGAUGUCACACCUUAUUUGAAUUGUGUUAUAGUUGUUUGCUAGUCGUGAUGAAGUUUUACAAUGGGCUCGAUCGCUGACUCAUGACAUUGGAUUUGUUGUCAUUAUAAUGAGGUCAAACACCAAUACUGGUGUUCGAGGAAGAGUCUCAUUUCUGUUGAUAACUUGCAAAAGGUGUGGUGAGUAUAGGCCUAAAAAACAUAAUUUGGUAAGAACAUGCACUAACAGUAGAAAAUGUGGAUGUCCAUUUAAGUUGUAUGCAAAGCCAGUUUCAGGAGGAGAAUGAUAGAUGGUGAAGUUAAUUUGUGGGGUUCACAAUCACAAAAUGGCAGUCAUUUGUUGGGCAUCCAUAUGUGGGUCGACUGACAAUGGAUGAGAAGAUUGUUGUUGUUGAUAUGAUGAAGUUCAUGGUGGAGCCAAGAAAUAUUUUGUUGACGUUGAAGGAAUACAAUGACAACAGUUAUACAAUAAUCAAACAAAUUUACAAUGCAAGACAUGCUUACCGUUCUUCCAUAAGAAGGAGUAACACCAAAAUGCAACAACGGAAUAUGUUGCUUGAUCGAGAUCAAUAUAUUCACUGGCAUAGGUUGAAGGAUGAUAAUGUUGUACAUGACUUGUUCUAGAGUCAUCCUGAUGCAGUAAAGUUAAACAAUUCUUGUAAUUUGGUUUUUUUAUCGACAAUACCUACAAAACAAAUAGGUACAAACUGUCGUUGCUUGAUAUUGUUGGUGUUACACCAACAAGAAUGACAUUCUUCGCUGUUUUUGCUUACUUGGAAAAAGAACAUCUUAAUAAUGUUGUUUGGGCUCUACAGUGGUUUCAGGGUCUUUUCAUGAGAGUUGAUGCAUUCCCCGGGGUUAUUAUCAUCAACAGGGAUUUCUCUUUGAUGAAUGCAGUGAAAACUGUAUUCCUGGAUGCUACGAACAUGUUGUGUCGAUUCCACAUUGACAAGAAUGUGAUGACAAAGUGAAAAACCCUAGUUGCUUAAAUGAAUGCAUGGGAUUAUAUGAUGGAGGCUUGGGGGAGUUUGUUUGACUGUCCAUGUGAGAGUUCUUUUGAUAAGUACCUUAAAAACUUUGAAAUGACUUACUCUCUAUGACCUAUGUUUGUGGACUAUGUGUGUCAAACAUGGGUGAUUCCGCACAAAGAAAGAUUUGUGAAAGCAUGAACCAACAAAGUGAUGCAUCUAAGAAACACAACCACUAACAGGGUUCUUUGGUCACUAAAGAGACUCCUACAAAACUCUAUUGGUGACAUAUGCAGUGUUUGAGAAGCAAUGAAUAAUAUGAUGACACUUCAACACACCCAGAUUAAACCAUCUUUUGAGACAAGCACGCACGUGGUUAGACAUGUGUUUAAAGUAACCUUGUACAAAAAAUUACUUGGCAUGGUAUCAAGGUACGCAUUAAAUGAAAUUGGUGCUGAGUAUGAGCGUGUAGCUUAUGCAGGCAAAAACCCUUCAUGUUGUGAAUGUGUCAUGAGGAGUACUCACGAUCUUCCAUGUG